AGAUUCAUUACAUAAUUUAUCCACGAAAUUAACUCACUGAUAAUAUUUGGUAAAAAAUCUGUGAAAGUUAAUUUAAAAUGGAUCGCUUCAAUUUAAGAAAGAGGAAACGAAUAAGCUAUUAUGAGCCGAGAGAACCCAAGUUAGAUGAAUACAUAUUUUGUUCGGACUGUAAAGACUAUGUGUAUGAGUACUGCGCCAUACAUGGUCCUUUGCUUGUUAUACCUGACGACAAGGUAAGUGAAUCAUUUGCACAAAACAUGCAACAGUAACAGAAGCAUUAGAAAGAAGAUUGUAGUGUACUCUCAACAUAUAUGUAUAAACUUUGUUUUAUCUAUGUGUCAAACCUCAAAUUGUACAUUUUUAU